rnacentral:miRNA from 1 species
AGUUAGCAUUGGUCGUUUCUAUG